rnacentral:rRNA from 1 species
UACGGAGGGGGCUAGCGUUGUUCGGAAUUACUGGGUGUAAAGCGCACGUAGGCGGCUUUGUAAGUCAGAGGUGAAAUCCCAGUGCUCAACACUGGAACUGCCUUUGAGACUGCAUCGCUUGAAUCCAGGAGAGGUGAGUGGAAUUCCGAGUGUAGAGGUGAAAUUCGUAGAUAUUCGGAAGAACACCAGUGGCGAAGGCGGCUCACUGGACUGGUAUUGACGCUGAGGUGCGAAAGCGUGGGGAGCAAACAGG